AUUGAACGCUGGCGGCAUGCCUUACACAUGCAAGUCGAACGGUAACGGGUUCUUCGGAAUGCCGACGAGUGGCGAACGGGUGAGUAAUACAUCGGAACGUGCCUAGUAGUGGGGGAUAACUACUCGAAAGAGUGGCUAAUACCGCAUGAGAUCUACGGAUGAAAGCAGGGGACCUUCGGGCCUUGCGCUACUGGAGCGGCCGAUGGCAGAUUAGGUAGUUGGUGGGAUAAAAGCUUACCAAGCCAACGAUCUGUAGCUGGUCUGAGAGGACGAUCAGCCACACUGGGACUGAGACACGGCCCAGACUCCUACGGGAGGCAGCAGUGGGGAAUUUUGGACAAUGGGCGCAAGCCUGAUCCAGCAAUGCCGCGUGCAGGAUGAAGGCCUUCGGGUUGUAAACUGCUUUUGUACGGAACGAAAAGCUCUUCUCUAAUACAGAGGGGUGAUGACGGUACCGUAAGAAUAAGCACCGGCUAACUACGUGCCAGCAGCCGCGGUAAUACGUAGGGUGCAAGCGUUAAUCGGAAUUACUGGGCGUAAAGCGUGCGCAGGCGGUUUUGUAAGACAGUGGUGAAAUCCCCGGGCUCAACCUGGGAACUGCCAUUGUGACUGCAAGGCUGGAGUGCGGCAGAGGGGGAUGGAAAUUCCGCGUGUAGCAGUGAAAUGCGUAGAUAUGCGGAGGAACACCGAUGGCGAAGGCAAUCCCCUGGGCCUGCACUGACGCUCAUGCACGAAAGCGUGGGGAGCAAACAGGAUUAGAUACCCUGGUAGUCCACGCCCUAAACGAUGUCAACUGGUUGUUGGGGAUUUAUUUCUUCAGUAACGAAGCUAACGCGUGAAGUUGACCGCCUGGGGAGUACGGCCGCAAGGUUAAAACUCAAAGGAAUUGACGGGGACCCGCACAAGCGGUGGAUGAUGUUCUUUAAUUCGAUGCAACGCGAAAAACCUUACCCACCUUUGACAUGUACGGAAGCUUGCAGAGAUGCGAGUGUGCUCGAAAGAGAACCGUAACACAGGUGCUGCAUGGCUGUCGUCAGCUCGUGUCGUGAGAUGUUGGGUUAAGUCCCGCAACGAGCGCAACCCUUGCCAUUAGUUGCUACGAAAGGGCACUCUAAUGGGACUGCCGGUGACAAACCGGAGGAAGGUGGGGAUGACGUCAAGUCCUCAUGGCCCUUAUAGGUGGGGCUAGAAACGUCAUACAAUGGCCGGUACAAAGGGUCGCGAAGCCGCGAGGUGGAGCCAAUCCCAUAAAGCCGGUCGUAGUCCGGAUCGCAGUCUGCAACUCGACUGCGUGAAGUCGGAAUCGCUAGUAAUCGUGGAUCAGCAUGCCACGGUGAAUACGUUCCCGGGUCUUGUACACACCGCC
rnacentral:rRNA from 1 species